GGGUUGCCUGUAUUUCACGAUAGCUCAGCGAAAGCAAGUCUUCUUAUGGAUACAAAUUGGGGCAGGUUUUCCCCUCUGCUUCCUGCCCACUUAUGGACAUGUUGUUCGCUUGAAAUCCACUCUGUAGGUGUUCCAAGUCAUCUUUGAUUCCAAUGAAGCGUGGUUUGAAGCCAGGCUACACCCCAAGGACUGUCAGCUGUGAAAUGACAGCAACAGAUGGACUUUGCCAGGAUGAAGCAAUCAAAGGUUUGUGUGAUCUUUUACAUGUCAUCUCCUUUGAACUUCGCAACUACUUUGUGAGUUUCCUCAUCUAUAAAAAUGAAGUUAUUGGACUCAAGGAUAUUACAGCAAGAGAUUCAUUCUCUCAUGGAGACACUAAUAAUUGGAAGCAAUCUUCUUGACAUCUCUGAAGGUCCCCCAUAGUAGUCACACUUCUACCUGCCUUCCAACUGGAGCAGACUGACCUGACUUAAGGGCUCGGGACCCACACACCAUAAAUCCACGAUCACCAGAGGAGAUUACUGUGAGAACAGAGUGUAUUGCCUUAUACACUGUCCCAUACUCCCUCAAAAGUAAGCUUGUUCUUAAUCCUCCUGGUUCUGGUUCUCCCUUGCCUUCUAAUUUUUACUGGGUCUUCAAAGACCUUGAGACAUUCCUUUAUUGUCAAUGUAAUUCAAGGUCCAAAUAUCCCAAGGGCUUUGGGCUCAGUGGAAGUCUCAUUUUUGAGGACUGACUCCAAGAAGGCUAUUGUGAGUCCCCAGUAUGGGUAACAGGGCUCCCAGCU
rnacentral:lncRNA from 1 species